rnacentral:lncRNA from 1 species
AGGAUCCAGCGAUACUCCGUUGCCUCCUCCUAUAACUACAUUACCCAAGCCAGCUCGCAAGUUUCUGGGUGUUGAUACUCCUUGUACUAUAGAAGAAAAAAAGGAAUCAAAAUCACCAACGAAGAAGAACCCUAAAAAAGACAAAGAAGGUGA